GGUACUGACUACAUUACAGGGUAGUGAUUAAUAGACGGGGAAAGGUAAGGUACUGACUACAUUACAGUGUAGUGAUCAAUAGACGGGGAAAGGUACUGACUACAUUACAGGGUAGUGAUCAAUAGACGGGGAAAGGUAAGGUACUGACUACAUUACAGUGUAGUGAUCAAUAGACGGGGAAAGGUACUGACUACAUUACAGGGUAGUGAUCAAUAGACGGGGAAAGGUAAGGUACUGACUACAUUACAGGGUAGUGAUCAAUAGACGGGGAAAGGUACUGACUACAUUACAGGGUAGUGAUCAAUAGAUGGGGAAAAGUACUGACUACAUUACAGGGUAGUGAUCAGUAGACGGGGAAAGGUACUGACUACAUUACAGGGUAGUGAUCAAUAGACGGGCAAAAGUACUGACUACAUUACAGGGUAGUGAUCAGUAGACGGGGAAAGGUACUGACUACAUUACAGGGUAGUGAUCAAUAGAUGGGGAAAGGUACUGACUACAUUACAGGGUAGUGAUCAAUAGAUGGGGAAAGGUACUGACUACAUUACAGGGUAGUGAUCAAUAGAUGGGGAAAGGUACUGACUACAUUACAGGGUAGUGAUCAAUAGACGGGGAAAGGUACUGACUACAUUACAGGGUAGUGAUCAAUAGAUGGGGAAAGGUACUGACUACAUUACAGGGUAGUGAUCAAUAGAUGGGGAAAGGUACUGACUACAUUACAGGGUAGUGAUCAAUAGACGGGGAAAGGUAAGGUACUGACUACAUUACAGGGUAGUGAUCAAUAGAUGGGGAAAGGUACUGACUACAUUACAGGGUGGUGAUCAAUAGAUGGGGAAAGGUAAGGUACUGACUACAUUACAGGGUAGUGAUCAAUAGAUGGGGAAAGGUAAGGUACUGACUACAUUACAGGGUAGUGAUCAAUAGAUGGGGAAAGGUACUGACUACAUUACAGGGUAGUGAUCAAUAGAUGGGGAAAGGUACUGACUACAUUACAGGGUAGUGAUCAGUAGACAGGGAAAGGCACUGACUACAUUACAGGGUGGUGAUCAAUAGAUGGGGAGAGGUAAGGUACUGACUACAUUACAGGGUAGUGAUCAAUAGAUGGGGAAAGGUACUGACUACAUUACAGGGUAGUGAUCAAUAGACGGGGAAAGGUAAGGUACUGACUACAUUACAGGGUAGUGAUCAAUAGACGGGGAAAGGUACUGACUACAUUACAGGGUAGUGAUCAAUAGACGGGGAAAGGUACUGACUACAUUACAGGGUAGUGAUCAAUAGAUGGGGAAAGGUAAGGUACUGACUACAUUACAGGGUAGUGAUCAAUAGACGGUGAAAGGUACUGACUACAUUACAGGGUAGUGAUCAAUAGAUGGGGAAAGGUAAGGUACUGACUACAUUACAGGGUAGUGAUCAAUAGAUGGGGAAAGGUACUGACUACAUUACAGGGUAGUGAUCAAUAGAUGGGGAAAGGCACUGACUACAUUACAGGGUGGUGAUCAAUAGAUGGGGAAAGG